rnacentral:misc_RNA from 1 species
GAUGAAGAACGUAGCGAAAUGCGAUAAGUAAUGUGAAUUGCAGAAUUCAGUGAAUCAUCGAAUCUUUGAACGCACAUUGCGCCCCCUGGUAUUCCGGGGGGCAUGCCUGUCCGAGCGUCAUUGCUGCCCUCAAGCACGGCUUGUGUGUUGGGCCUCCGUCCUCCUCCCGGGGGACGGGCCCGAAAGGCAGCGGCGGCACCGCGUCCGGUCCUCGAGCGUAUGGGGCUUCGUCACCCGCUCUUGUAGGCCCGGCCGGCGCUUGCCGACACAUCAAUCUUUUUUCCAGGUUGACCUCGUAUCAGGUAGGGAUACCCGCUGAACUUAAGCAUAUCAAUAAGCGGAGGA